CUCUCCAAGGAUCCCCAAGCCUUUACAUGGUGAACCCAUCAUCACCUCCACCCUCAGGCCUGCUGGGAGGAGAGCAGGGUGGUAUCUGUGCGCAGGCCAGGAAUUAACCUCAGUUAUUUCCCUCUGAUUUAGCUUCUGAGAGAUGCCAGGAACAAGGAGAUCUUCACGUACACCAAGUGAUGCUGUGUGACCUUGCUCCUUAAUUUAAAACGUUCUCUGCUGAUGGGGAUAGAGUUGCAAACCCUCUUUAAGGGUUCCAGGCAAGAGUGCCUCUCUGCCCAGCACUCUCUCUUCAACGACCUCUGCACCCCAGUGUGUUAGAUCCUGGAAGGCAUGAAUCAGUGGACAUGAGAGGAACAGCUUUUCUCCAUCUCAAGCUCCUCCAUGCCGUGUAGCCUCACUGCAGAUCUAACCUAUCAUAGCUGAGGACUGUGAACCAACUUCCGUGUUUUCCCUUUAUAAAUUGCUUGUCUGAGUACUUCGUUGUAGUCAUGGAAAUCUAGAGCACACAGAGCUCAGUGGUAUGGUAUGUAGAAAACACCCAUCACACGGUCAGCAAUUCUCACCUGCUGUUCAGGUGAUACCACCCCACUCGUGGUAUCAGUUUCGACAUCACCAAAGACACUGAUAACUCUUUCAAGGGAAAGAUGCUACGCUAUACUGACUCGAUGAGCAGAGAAGGUGAACAUGCCGACAGUUUCUUUACUUUAUGACCUGUGCUGGCUGGUUUUGUGUGUCAACUUGACACAAGCUGGAGUUAUCGCAGAGAAAGAAGCCUCCCUUGA
rnacentral:sRNA from 1 species